ensembl:lncRNA SSTR5-AS1 SSTR5 antisense RNA 1
GGGUAAACACGAUUAGUCAUGUUUAGCUUGGCCGGGAAUCACGUUAAGCAAAUUGUUUGGAAAAUAAGCCAGGAGAGGAAGGAGCGGCGGGCAGGUGGCCCCGGGAGCCCAGACGGACGGCUGCUGUCGAUAUGGCGACAGCUGCCCUGUGGCCGCCCCUGCACCCAGAUGGCGCCUGGCCUGGCCGCAGCAUCCUGGAGUCUGAGGCCAGCACCUGCGUCUCCCUGAAGCCCCUCAGAGCCUGCCCUGCAGUGCUGCUGCCCUCGUCUACCAGGUAAGGAGCCGAGGCCCAGCGGGCGGCCCCUCCCGGGACACACAGGGAGAGGUGGCAGUGGAGAGAGAUGGGGCCGGUGGUCGGCCCCCUGUCCGCCUGGGAUGAAUGGCACCUGGCUAGGACGACCUGAGAAGUGGCUGGACGUGGUGUCGCCACCGCAGCCUCGAGGGACUUUCACCGGGGUGCCCGCUGCCCGUUGGCCCCGAACCUCUCUCCAGGCCAGCGCAGGGACCGUCACCCCCACAGCAAUGACAGACAUCUGUAAACCCAGGCGGGGGCACAGCACAGGGCCAGAGAGACACCACCCUCCCCACGGGGCGGCUGCAGAGAAGCAAACACACAAACCACACAGAGUGGUCACACGGAGCCCCAGGAGUCACACAGGGCGAAGGAGGGGGGACUGCGGGCGGGGGCUGCACACCCUGCAGCCCGGAGGAGAAGCCGCGGUGGGGGGUGUGGGCGGGUCAGAGGCAUAGCGUAUGGGGGCUGCAGCCACCUGACACUGCCCAGUCCCAUCGGAGCUUUGAGCCCCCUCCCAGGCCCUGGAACCCCCCACUGUGGCCCAGAGAGAGAACAGGGGAGACUUGGGGGAGGGGAGGGAGGGGUGUCCAUGGAGAAGGGUGGGCUGGGAAUGGUGACGUCUGUGGGUCCAAGGCCAUGGGCACGUGUGUACCUCGUAUAUUGUUUUUGUAUUUUUCUGCAUGUUUGAAAUCAUUCAUAAAAAUGAUACUCCGGC